rnacentral:rRNA from 1 species
AGUGAACGCUGGCGGUAGGCCUAACACAUGCAAGUCGAACGGCAGCACAGGAGAGCUUGCCCUCUGGGUGGCGAGUGGCGGACGGGUGAGGCAUACAUCGGAAUCUACUCUGUCGUGGGGGAUAACGUCGGGAACCCUACGCUAAUCCCGCAUACGCUCUACGGGUGAAAGCAGGGAGCCUUCGGGCCUUGCGCGAUUGACUGAGUCGGUGUCGGAUGAGCUAGUUGGCGGGGUAAAGGUCCACCAAGGCGACGAUGCGUAGCUGGUCUGAGAGGAUGAUCAGCCACACUGGAACUGAGACACGGUCCAGACUCCUACGGGAGGCAGCAGUGGGGAAUAUUGGGCAAUGGGCGCAAGCCUGAUCGAGCCAUGCCGCGUGGGUGAAGAAGGCCUUCGGGUUGUAAAGCCCUUUUGUUGGAAAAGAAAUCCAGCUGGAUAAUACGCGAUUGGGAUGACGGUACCCAAAGAAUAAGCACCGGCUAACUUCGUGCCAGCAGCCGCCGUAA